rnacentral:tRNA from 1 species
UGGGGUUGUGGCUCAGCGUUAGAGCAUUCGCCUAGCAUGUGCAUGCUCUGGGUUUGAUCCUCAGCACCACAA